AGUUUGCUCCGUCCGGGUCAUUGGAGAAAGUGACAUCAUGCAGGAGUUCCUGUCUGAAUCAGAUGAGAACUACAACGGUGUGACGGAUGUGGAGUUGAGAAUAGCCAUGCCGGAUAAAACCACACUGACCGUCAGAGUGUGUAAGAACUCCACUACAGACCAGGUCUAUCAGGCGGUGGUCAUGAAGUUGGGCAUGGACAGUGUCAUCGCCAGCUACUUCGCUCUCUUCGAGGUCAUUAACCACACUUUUGGUGAGUGAUAGUGAAAAUAAAAAAAAAAACCCCACAGCCCAGAAAGAAGAAAUCUGUGACAAGUUGUCUGGUCAGACAUGUUC